rnacentral:rRNA from 1 species
GACGAACGCUGGCGGCGUGCUUAACACAUGCAAGUCGAACGGAAAGGCCCUGCUUUUGUGGGGUGCUCGAUUGGCGAACGGGUGAGUAACACGUGAGUAACCUGCCCUUGACUUUGGGAUAACUUCAGGAAACUGGGGCUAAUACCGGAUAGGAGCUCCUGCUGCAUGGUGGGGGUUGGAAAGUUUCGGCGGUUGGGGAUGGACUCGCGGCUUAUCAGCUUGUUGGUGGGGUAGUGGCUUACCAAGGCUUUGACGGGUAGCCGGCCUGAGAGGGUGACCGGCGACAUUGGGACUGAGAGACGGCCCAGACGCCUACGGGAGGCAGCAGUGGGGAAUAUUGCACAAUGGGCGGAAGCCUGAUGCAGCAACGCCGCGUGCGGGAUGACGGCCUUCGGGUUGUAAACCGCUUUCGCCUGUGACGAAGCGUGAGUGACGGUAAUGGGUAAAGAAGCACCGGCUAACUACGUG